UAAAUGACAUACAACCGCCAUGAUUCGAUCAGUUUUAAUUUUAAUAAAGAUCAAGUGAACUUGAUAUAAAAGUGCACAUUAAAGUUAUUGAACCCUUAAGUCGAUAUAAAGGUCAAGUGGGAGAAUGUAAGAAUAUUUUAUAUUCUAUGUGACCUAUGUAUCUAUUGGUUUAAUAUAAAGUUCAAGUUCAUAUUAAUGUUUUAGAUUCUAAUAUAAAAGGCGAUACUGUGAUGGAUCGGUUUCUAUUAAAGAGUUAGAAUAUGGGUGUAUUGAUAACCCUCCUACUUUACCUUAUAUUUAUAAAUGUCCUUAAUCUCAUGAUCAUAUAUGUAAAAGGUAAUAAUAAUGGAAUAUAUUACCAUAAGGUCAAAUAUAUAUGAUGAUAUAUUAUAAUGCACUUGUACGGUUAAUAUCGAAGUGUUGUGUGGAAGAGGUGUGUUGGUUAAGACACACCCUUUGAUUAAUAUAAAAGUGACUCGUACAUCAUGUGUUGCACAUACGUUUUCUUACGAGUCUCUCUAAAACACAAUACAACAAUAAUAUUUAUCAAAAGGAGAGAUUAAGGAAGGUUUGGGAUUUCUUGUCCAUCAAGGAAAUCACCAAAAGGGAGAAGGUUAAAGAGGAGAAGAUCAAUUGGUGGAAUUGCAUCCAAGCAUGGAUCAAGAAGCUCCAGGCUACGCCGGCUGCCAAGAUGCCCGGCUUCCAAGCUCCAUAAGAAAAGUCGGAGUUUAUUGUUAAAAAAACGGAAAGAUAACUCCUACCAAGGUGAUAAUAUUAAAAUUGAAGAGAAAAUAUCUACCAUCACAACGCCCAAAUCAGCAUGGUUUGCAAAAGUGUUUGAAAAGUAUGCAUAUAUAUUAUUUUAAUCAGAAUAUUCCAAGAAAAUUGGGAAAAGAUUACCUAUACAAUCAAAAUGAUGACUAAUAUUCAACUCCGAUUAAUAGAACUACGCUUAGUGAAAAUAUGAAUGAUGAGCCAUUUGAUGUUUCCAUACACUUUAAAUAUGUGUAGUUUGUGAUUUUGCACAAGAUUCCGACGUCUAAUAUUUAUUUGCAUUAAAAUGUUAAUAUGAGAGUAAAACACUUCUUUGCGCACA